rnacentral:rRNA from 1 species
CCUACGGGAGGCAGCAGUGGGGAAUAUUGCACAAUGGGGGAAACCCUGAUGCAGCGACGCCGCGUGAGCGAUGAAGUAUUUCGGUAUGUAAAGCUCUAUCAGCAGGGAAGAAAAUGACGGUACCUGACUAACAAGCCCCGGCUCACUACGUGCCAGCAGCCGCGGGAAUACGUAGGGGGCCAGCGUUAUCCGGAUGUACUGGGUGUAAAGGGAGCGUAGACGGCGGUGCAAGCCAGAUGUGAAAGCCCGGGGGUGAAACCCGGGACUGCAUUUGAAACUGUGCUGCUAGAGUGUCGGAGAGGCAGGCGGAAUUCUUAGUGUAGCGGUGAAAUGCGUAGAUAUUAGGCGGAACACCAGUGGCGAAGGCGGCCUGCUGGACGAUGACUGACGUUGAGGCUCGAAAGCGUGGGGAGCGAACAGGAUUAGAUACCCGGGUAGUC